rnacentral:rRNA from 1 species
UACGGAGGGUGCAAGCGUUAUCCGGAUUUACUGGGUUUAAAGGGUGUGUAGGCGGGCUUUUAAGUCAGUGGUGAAAUCUCCGGGCUCAACCCGGAAACUGCCAUUGAUACUAUUAGUCUUGAAUUUUGUUGAGGUAGGCGGAAUAAGUCAUGUAGCGGUGAAAUGCUUAGAUAUGACUUAGAACACCAAUUGCGAAGGCAGCUUGCUAAACAAAUAUUGACGCUGGGGCACGAAAGCGUGGGGGAUCAAACAGG